rnacentral:other from 2 species
UUUACCCUGCGAUGAGCGCGAAGGCAUACAUUUCCUUGAACCAAUAAGUUUGCUUCGGUUGUCGGGAGCAGUAGCAGGUGCGAGCGUUCCCUUUGUCGGAAUGCACCCGAAGCUACCCGAGAUGACCACCUUGUUUCCAAGGUUCAAGCGGACUCAGCCCGAACGCCAUUUGCGGGGUUCCC